UCUUUCUCUCCCUCUCUUUCUUUCCUUUGUAGCUUUCACUACAUUACGGACGUCUUCUCAAGAGGGUACGUUUUCGAAUAACAUUUCUUCAAUUAUUUUUCCGCUCCUUUUUUGGAUUUUCUAGUCAGUUUUCUCGAGAAACUUGCUGAAAAUUUUAUGGGUUAUUUCAUUGAUCCUUUGGACGGUUUCUCUGUUUUCUUUCGCAAACCUAGAGAUGGGUGUUUGUUGUUUUUUUGAUAAGUAGAGAUGGGUAUGUUAGUUUUUCUUAACUUCUUUGCCGUUCUAGGCUUCGCUGGGGAUUCGCAUGCUGGCUUGUUAUGAAGUUGUGGAUUGAUUGUUUGAGAGGGAAUGAUAUAAUAAUGGAUUAAUUUGAUCAAUUGAGGAAAAUUGGGAGUAUUUUUUCUUUUUUUGGAAGUAAUUAAUAUUGAUACCAAGUGGAGAUUGCUUGCUCUUUCUUCCUUUUUAUAGUUUGUGAGUUGCUGUAUAUUUGAUCAGUUGGUCUCUUUGUUAUUAAUGAAGAGUUGUAUAUUUAUUUUUUUUCAAUUGUGCAAUAACCAAGUGUGGUGUUUAUAAGAAAUUUUUUUAAAAAAAAAUUUAAUAUAUAGCAAUUAGGUAUUUACGUUGUGUCAUCGUUGUAUUAAGAGUUGGUUAAGAAUAGGUGUUCGGCUGAAGGAGACUAUUCAUUUAUUCUAGCUAGAUUUGGACGCAUGGUGGUUCAGCAUUUGGGAAUUGGCAUAUAUGAAUUGACCCUUCUCUUUUUUCUUUAUUUUUAUUUGUUGCUUUUGGUGCAGCAAGAGUCUAGAUGGUGUAGGACUUCCAUUUGCAAUAUA
rnacentral:misc_RNA from 1 species